UACGUAGGUGGCAAGCGUUGUCCGGAAUUAUUGGGCGUAAAGCGCGCGCAGGCGGUCCUUUAAGUCUGAUGUGAAAGCCCACGGCUCAACCGUGGAGGGUCAUUGGAAACUGGAGGACUUGAGUGCAGAAGAGAAGAGUGGAAUUCCACGUGUAGCGGUGAAAUGCGUAGAGAUGUGGAGGAACACCAGUGGCGAAGGCGGCAUCCUGGACCGACAUUGACGCUGAGGAGCGAAAGCCAGGGGAGCAAACGGG
rnacentral:rRNA from 1 species